GUAUUUGACGUCUUGGAGAAGUAAUGAUGAUCCAGGUACAGGUGAUUAUACUUAUCGAUGUCAUCCUCAAGGUUUCCCUCAGUUUUUAAUUACAGAUGGUUCCAAAAAGAAGAUUUACAGGCUUGGAAACUGGAAUGGGUUCAUAUUUAGCGGAUUUCCGAGAGAGAUCAGCAACAUCAGUCUAAGUUUUGUAUACAAUGACAAGGAGGUUUACUACAUGUAUAAUAUUGUUCACAGCUCUAUAAUUACAAGAUUGGUGCUAACUCAGAAUGGUGUUGCAGUGCGACAGGUAUGGGCUGAGAAAAGUAAGAAUUGGGCUGAUUUUCUAUCCGGACCAACAGAUCUCUGCGAUAAUUAUGGCAAGUGUGGUCAAUUUGGUAGCUGUAACAUUGCAAAUGCUGUAAUUUGUGAGUGUUUAGAUAAAUUUAAGCCAAAGUCCCCCAAGGACUGGAAUGCGGGUGACUUUUCUGAUGGUUGUGUUCGGGAGACAUCAUUGGAUUGUGAAAAUGGAGAUGGAUUUCUCAAGUAUUCAAACAUUAAAUUGCCAGACACAGAGAGUUGCAGGAGUAAUGAGAGCAUGAACCUGAAGGAUUGUGAAAUGUUAUGCUCAAAGAACUGCUCUUGUACUGCCUACACAACUUUGGACAUAAGUAAAGGAAGUGGCUGUUUGAUUUGGUUUGAUGAGCUAAUCGACAUCAGGCAAGCGCCUCGAGGAGGUGGUCAGGACAUCUAUAUUAGAAUGGCAGCUUCAGAGUUAGGUAUGUUUUUAUUGUGGAAUCUAAUAUGAUCCUUUUGCUUUUAAUGUCUUAUUCACAACUUGAUCAAAUAUGCUGAAAAGAAUAAUUCACCUGCUUAAAUUCCCUUACAAAUUUUAACUAGAGUUGAGUUUUGACAAAUUUCUAGUUUUUAACAGCACUGGUAAGAGUACUCUAUCUUUUCUGGAAAAUCAGUCAUAUUACAUGAAAUAUAUAUAUAUGAAUUGCGGAACAUUGCUUAAUCUUCCCAUCUAGGUGGCUCAAAGGGAAAGACAAAGAAGGUGGUCAUAAUAGUCAGUUUGAUAUCAAUCGGCGCCCUUGUGCUAGGCCUAAGCUUGAUAAUAUACAUGUUUAAGAAAAAGAAGAACAAAAGGCAGGAAGGUAUUUUCCAUGUGAACUUUUCUUUAUUCCAGAGAGAUGAAAACUCUUUGAGGAUUUAAUCUACAUGAACGUACUACUCUUUAUCGAUGUGUUCCAUGCUCACAGGGAGGUUCACGNAGGUAUUUGACGUCUUGGAGAAGUAAUGAUGAUCCAGGUACAGGUGAUUAUACUUAUCGAUGUCAUCCUCAAGGUUUCCCUCAGUUUUUAAUUACAGAUGGUUCCAAAAAGAAGAUUUACAGGCUUGGAAACUGGAAUGGGUUCAUAUUUAGCGGAUUUCCGAGAGAGAUCAGCAACAUCAGUCUAAGUUUUGUAUACAAUGACAAGGAGGUUUACUACAUGUAUAAUAUUGUUCACAGCUCUAUAAUUACAAGAUUGGUGCUAACUCAGAAUGGUGUUGCAGUGCGACAGGUAUGGGCUGAGAAAAGUAAGAAUUGGGCUGAUUUUCUAUCCGGACCAACAGAUCUCUGCGAUAAUUAUGGCAAGUGUGGUCAAUUUGGUAGCUGUAACAUUGCAAAUGCUGUAAUUUGUGAGUGUUUAGAUAAAUUUAAGCCAAAGUCCCCCAAGGACUGGAAUGCGGGUGACUUUUCUGAUGGUUGUGUUCGGGAGACAUCAUUGGAUUGUGAAAAUGGAGAUGGAUUUCUCAAGUAUUCAAACAUUAAAUUGCCAGACACAGAGAGUUGCAGGAGUAAUGAGAGCAUGAACCUGAAGGAUUGUGAAAUGUUAUGCUCAAAGAACUGCUCUUGUACUGCCUACACAACUUUGGACAUAAGUAAAGGAAGUGGCUGUUUGAUUUGGUUUGAUGAGCUAAUCGACAUCAGGCAAG
rnacentral:lncRNA from 1 species